CCAGGGUGGGCCAAGGACUCAGGUCGGAACAGGACGGGUCGGGACUUCUGAUUCAAGAUGCAGGCUGAGGGGAAGGUGAUGGCCCUGGGUCGCAGAGGCAGCCCUGCCCAGCACACAGCCCUAAGGACCAAGGAAGGUGCUGGGGCCCAGUCGGGAGCCUGUGGCCAAGAGGGGCUGGCAGGGGGACAAACGGAAGCGCUCUCGGAAGAGCGGCCCCUGCCCGGGAGCCCUGGACACUGGGAUCCCCAGCUCCUGCCUCACUCUCACCGAAGCCCCGAGAUGUGUGCCCAUCUUAACGGUUGUCACCCCUCCCCGGAGCGGGUGGUGAAGACAGAGCCAGCCGUCACCGUGG
ensembl:lncRNA